ACCUCGAUGUUGAAUUGCAGUAACCUGGGGGUACAGCAGCUUCCACGGGUGGGACUAUUCGUCCAUUAAAACCGUACAUGAUUUGAGUUCAGACCGGCGUGAGCUAGGUC
rfam:Amphimedon queenslandica AMPQTscaffold_13515_Cont484, whole genome shotgun sequence.